rnacentral:rRNA from 1 species
CACGUAGUUGGCCGGUGCUUCUUCUGCAGGUACCGUCACUUGCGCUUCGUCCCUGCUGAAAGAGGUUUACAACCCGAAGGCCGUCAUCCCUCACGCGGCGUUGCUGGAUCAGGCUUCCGCCCAUUGUCCAAUAUUCCCCA